rnacentral:rRNA from 1 species
AGCGAACGUUUGCGGCGGGCCUAACACAUGCAAGUCGAACGGGCUAGCAAUAGUCAGUGGCGCACGGGUGCGUAACACGUGGGUAAUCAACCCUUCAGCUCGGGAUAACGCCUUGAAAGGGGCGCUAAUACCGGAUACGACGCGAGGAGCUUCGGCUGCUCGCGGGAAAGAUUCGCAAGGAUCUCUGAAGGACGAGCCUGCGGCCCAUCAGCUAGUUGGUGAGGUAAGAGCUCACCAAGGCGAAGACGGGUAGCUGGUCUGAGAGGAUGAUCAGCCACACUGGAACUGAGACACGGUCCAGACUCCUACGGGAGGCAGCAGUGGGGAAUAUUGCGCAAUGGGCGAAAGCCUGACGCAGCCACGCCGCGUGAGCGAUGAAGGCCUCGGUC